rnacentral:sRNA from 1 species
UACGGAGGGGGCUAGCGUUGUUCGGAAUUACUGGGCGUAAAGCGCACGUAGGCGGCUUUACAAGUCAGAGGUGAAAGCCCGGAGCUCAACUCCGGAAUUGCCUUUGAGACUGUAUCGCUUGAAUCAUGGAGAGGCGGGUGGAAUUCCGAGUGUAGAGGUGAAAUUCGUAGAUAUUCGGAAGAACACCAGUGGCGAAGGCGGCCCGCUGGACAUGUAUUGACGCUGAGGUGCGAAAGCGUGGGGAGCAAACAGG